rnacentral:rRNA from 1 species
AUUGAACGCUGGCGGCGUGCUUUACACAUGCAAGUCGAACGGCAGCAUGGGAGCUUGCUCCUGAUGGCGAGUGGCGGACGGGUGAGUAAAACAUCGGAACGUGCCUUAUAGUGGGGGAUAACGAGUUGAAAGAUUUGCUAAUACCGCAUGAAUGUCUGAGGAUAAAAGCUGGGGAUCAGAAAUGACCUGGCGCUAUUGGGAGCGGCCGAUAUCAGAUUAGCUAGUUGGUGGGGUAAAGGCCUACCAAGGCAACGAUCUGUAGUUGGUCUGAGAGGACGACCAGCCACACUGGGACUGAGACACGGCCCAGACUCCUACGGGAGGCAGCAGUGGGGAAUUUUGGACAAUGGGCGCAAGCCUGAUCCAGCAAUGCCGCGUGCA